GAAAUGACAGGAAGCUGUUUCCGCGCUGGAUGGUCAGCCUUGAGGGCCACAUCAUAUGUGAGGGGAUCCAGCCCACCUUCUUGACCUGGCUUGCCGCAUUAUUUUCCAGCUUCUACACCUUUAAUCUCCAAUACCAAGAAGAGGCAGCAUGCACACUCAAAUUCAUCCAAAGGCACUUCGUUGGAAUAAACUGUGAGAGAGGCACCAAGGCUGGACGGGGUAAAGUGUUAUCAAAGAAAACUGGCGAAGUCACCAACAAAAAGACAACAACAGUCAAUCCACAUGUAUCCGCUGCUCAGGAGACUCAUCGACUUUGAGUGGGACUGCAUUUAAAAUG